UACGAGGUCUCAAGCGUUGUUCGGAUUCAUUGGGCGUAAAGGGUGCGUAGGCGGCGCGGUAAGUCGGGUGUGAAAUCUCGGGGCUUAACUCCGAAACUGCAUUCGAUACUGCCGUGCUUGAGGACUGGAGAGGAGACUGGAAUUUACGGUGUAGCGGUGAAAUGCGUAGAUAUCGUAAGGAAGACCAGUGGCGAAGGCGGGUCUCUGGACAGUUCCUGACGCUGAGGCACGAAGGCCAGGGGAGCAAACGGG
rnacentral:rRNA from 1 species